UGGUUAGUUGGCACGUCCGGCAAGGCCGCACCACACUUCGACAACACCACUCGGCGCCACUGCGGCGCGCCUGCCGCGCUCUUCCUCGGCAAGCACGCAAGCCUGAGAUUCGAUCCCCCCGCGCACCCUCACCUCCUCUUCCCCCUCACGGGAUCACGAGACCACGCCGCGAGAUUCACGAGGCCGGGAGCGCAGAGAUCUGUGCCGCACCGAGCCGAGCUGAGCUUACUCUGCUCUGCUCUACUCUGCUUAUGCCGACGAGGUAGAUACAGUCCGCGGCGGGCGGGGGGAGGUGUGGCGGCCAAGCCUCCUCGGUCGGUCGGUCGGGAUGAAGCCGCGGAGGUUCGGCUACGGCCGGGGCAGGCGCGCGGCGGCGCUGCUCCUGCUGCUGCUCUGCCUCUGCCUCAGCAGCGCCUUCCUCCUGCUGCUCCACGGCUCCUCCGGUCCGCUGGAGCCCGCGGCGGAGGAGAAGGAGGCGGCGGGGGCGGGGAGGGUGGCGGAGGCAAAGGCGGAGGUGGAGGAGGCGCCGCUGCCGCCGGGGAACUCCAAGGUCGCUUUCCUCUUCAUCGCGCGCAACCGCCUCCCGCUCGAACUCGUCUGGGACGCCUUCUUCCGCGGUGACAAGGAAGGGAAGUUCUCCAUCUUCGUGCACUCGCGGCCGGGCUUCGUGCUCACCCGCGCCACCACCCGGUCCCGAUUCUUCUACAACCGCCAGGUCAACAACAGCAUCCAGGUGGAUUGGGGGGAGGCGAGCAUGAUCACGGCCGAGCGCAUUCUGCUCAGCCAUGCUCUCAAGGACCCGCUCAAUGAGCGCUUUGUUUUCGUCUCCGACAGCUGUGUACCAUUGUACAACUUCAGCUACACUUAUGACUACAUAAUGUCAUCAUCAACCAGCUUUGUAGACAGUUUUGCUGAUACAAAGGCGGGGCGAUACAAUCCAAGAAUGGACCCAAUUAUCCCAGUUGAGAAUUGGAGAAAAGGCUCACAGUGGGCAGUGCUAAUUAAAAGGCAUGCUGAAGUUGUGGUUGAAGAUGAAGUGGUGUUGCCAGAAUUCCAGAAGCAUUGCAGGAGGAGACCGUUGCCAGAGUUCUGGCGGGAUUGGGAUCGUCCUAUUCCUGCAGAGGCAUGGAAAGCCCAUAACUGCAUACCAGAUGAGCACUAUGUUCAGACAUUGCUUGCACAAACUGGUUUAGAAGAAGAACUUACACGGCGAUCAGUUACACAUAGUGCAUGGGAUCUUUCAGCUUCUAAAGAUCGUGAAAGGCGUGGAUGGCAUCCUGUAACAUAUAAAGUCUCUGAUGCUACUCCCGCACUUAUCAACUCUAUAAAGGGUAUUGAUAAUAUAUAUUACGAGACUGAAAAUAGGAGGGAGUGGUGUACAAGUAAUGGAAAACCGGCACCUUGCUUCCUUUUUGCAAGGAAGUUUACACGUGGAGCUGGUCUGAAGCUUCUUGAUUUGGUCCAUAACUGUCCACGCGUGCUACUAGCGCUGACAUGGCAUGCUGACUUGGCUCCUCAAAGCACCUCCUGGUUGAGGCAUUUCAUCAAGCGACACUAGCAUCACCACCUUCACCAUCUUCUUGCCAACGGCUUGCGCAACCUACACGGCGGCGUCCAUAGGCAAGGCACGGUGGUGGCCAGUGCGGGCAGCCGCCACGGGGGAGGCGCGGCGGCGGCGGAUGACCGAUUUCCGUGCUCGGCACACUCUGCCACGACGGUGAUGCCGCGAGGCACGCACAAGCAGGAGGCAGAACACCGCCAUCGCCGCUGGCCCUCCUCGCUGAGAGGGCUCGUGCUCGCCUGCGCCGGCCUUCUCAACCGCGGCGACGUCGGCAGCGCGCAGUGGCCGCUGCUCUGUCCAACACCGGCGGCGGGUCUUGGGCUCGGAGAGGUGGAGCGUGCGGACCUCGAGGAGUCACGAGCGGGACGGGUGGGAAAGCUCGGGAGGAGGAGGAGGAUCGGGCAGCUAGCCACCAUGGCGGCGGAUCCAUUCUGCGGACGAAGCCGGCGAGGAUGCCAUGGUCCAGAGGUCGACGGUCAUGGCGGACGCGGCGCCGUCGGUGCAGGUUCUGCGGGAGCGGUUACGAGGGGAGGCAGCAGAGGACCUCGUGGCGGAGCGCGGCGCACAUGCGGAGGCUGGAGAUUCCAGAGGAGUUCGAACUAGCUGGCAUGGCCGGAGGAUGGCGGCGCUGGAGGACAUGGAGCAGCGGCGCGGCGCAACGCCCGGAUCCAGAGUGGCGACACCGGUGAAGGAGUGGCAGCGCAUGCACAUGGUGCUGGCCAACGAGCUCGCCGUGAGGCUAGGCGCAAACGCGGCCACCUUCCUUCCGCGCCGGUGCCGACGUGGACAUCCACGCCAUGGCCUCACUGCAAGCUGGCCUCUGGACAACGGGCGACGCCAUGGGCCGCGCCAUCCGCGACCUGAAAGAGGUGAGGAUGCGGCUAGAGCGUAGGGUGACGGCUUGCCUUGUCCAUCGUAGGAAGCUGCUCACCUGGUUGCACAAGACAUGCUCGAUAAAAUGCUUGAGAUGGAGAUAGAGAAAGCAGGAGAGGACUGAGAGAGAAGAUGACUAGUUAGCGUGCCAUGUCAGCGUUAGAUGCUUAUGUGGAGAGUCAUUGAUAGCAGUAAAGUGAAGAAUAUAGUCAAAGGGGCAACUGCUUUUUAAUGGUUUCACCCUUACAAGAAUACUGCCAGUUCACACAAAUGUAAAGGAAGAUGCGGAACUACGGGGAGACAGAAAUUAACAGUGACUUUUUG